AUGACCAUCAACAAUGUACCAAAAAAAUCAACUCUAAAUUGUCCGCUACACUUUCCUUCAGUUUUCUUGCUCUUAUCUCUUGCAUGGACUUGAUUCAUUAUAAAAGCAGCUCCCUUGUUGGCCAUCAGCAGAAAGUGCAGGUUCUUUGAAGCCUAUACAUUUAUAGAAUCUCUCUAAGAUUAUAUAAAUACACCAAACGAAAAAAAAAAAAUCAACUGAAAGUUCCCUUUUUAGUCAUCAGCUGAAAGUUCAGUAUCGAUGGCACCAUCUAGUUGUUCUGAACUGUCAUUGGAAGUAGAACCGGGACCCGCUUCCCUGUCCGGAUUCAAAUUGAACUUGAAUAGGGCUGAUUAUGGACAUGGUUCAACUCUGCAAAAUUGGGAUGAUACUAUCCCGGACGGUAAUGCAAAAUUUUCUCUCUCUUAUCACUUGCAUUAACUCACUUCAUUAUAGAAAAGGUUCCCUUUUUGGUCAUCAGCUGAAAUUUCAGGUACUCUAAAUCUCAUACAUUUAUAUAAUCUCUCAAAGUUUUGAUCCUAACUUGAAAACAAUUUCUGGGUUUUUGAAGAUGUUGCUUACUUCGUUCAUUUGUUGAACCAAUAACGUAUUGUGUGCAGUUAGAGGUGGCUGGCA